UAAGGAACUUAUAUAUAUAUUUGCAUCUGCUGGAAGAUGGUGUACUAAAAGAGUUUCUUAGGAGUAUCAGUGUAGAGCCAUUUUGGCAUUCUGUCCACCUCCCAGCUUACUGAGGACUGAGGAGGGGGCCAAAGUGCCAAACUAGCUCUGCAGCUCUCUCUAUCAGAAAACCUCACAGAUUACUUUGUGUGCGUAUGGAAACAACCUCCAUCUCUACCUCCAACAUAUGGAUAUAUAGGGGAUCAACCAAAGCCAAGAUCGAUUAUAUUGAUGAUGAGAACAUUGAGAAAGACACAGCUUUUGGAUGAUCACAGAGUUUUCAAUUCUGUGGCACUGAACAGUUUUUGGAUGAUACUAUUGUCUUUAUGUGGUUCUACACAGUAAUAAGUAUUUACAAACAAUUAGAGCCAGCAACUGGCUGGGGACUUGAAGUUGGAUGAAGAACCUAUUAUUUUCCUGACAUUGAGAAAUUGUUGUCUGGCGAUAGUGGCAAGCUAAGUUUUCUUUGAGUCGGGUCCUUCAGAAACAAUUUCCCUGUCAUCACAAGGUUGUGAUAAGGUCUACCUUACCGUGGGAUUAUACUGGAUUUUUUGUUGUUUGUAAUCUAAAAUCACUAUCAAUGUCAACUAGGAGGAUAUCCUUCAUUUUUUUUUCUUGUCCAAAUCUCAAGCAAGUCUGUAUUUAAGAUUCUAAUAACUGUUUACUACAUUUGAUAGUUACUGAUCCACUUUCGAGUUUGAAGUCCAUGGGGAUAAUAUGUUGUUACGAUGUCAAGUU